GAUGAACGCUGGCGGCGUGCUUAACACAUGCAAGUCGAACGGAAAGGCCCAAGCUUGCUUGGGUACUCGAGUGGCGAACGGGUGUGUAACACGUGGGUGAUCUGCCCUGCACUUCGGGAUAAGCCUGGGAAACUGGGUCUAAUACCGGAUAGGACCACAUUUUGGAUGGUGUGGUGGAAAGUUUUUCGGUGUGGGUUGAGCUCGCGGCCUAUCAGCUUGUUGGUGGGGUAAUGGCUUACCAAGGCGCCGACGGGUAGCCGUCCUGAGAGGGUGUACGGCCACAUUGGGACUGAGAUACGGACCAGACGCCUACGGGAGACAGAGGGGGGAAAUAUUGCACAAUGGGCGCAAGCCUGAUGCAGCGACGCCGCGUGGGGGAUGACGGCCUUCGGGUUGUAAACUCCUUUCGCUAAGGACGAAGCGGAAGUGACGGUACCUGGAGAAGAAGCACCGGCUAACUACGUG
rnacentral:rRNA from 1 species